rnacentral:rRNA from 1 species
AGGACGAACGCUGGCGGCGUGCUUAACACAUGCAAGUCGAGCGGUAAGGCCCCUUCGGGGGUACACGAGCGGCGAACGGGUGAGUAACACGUGAGUAACCUGCCCCCCACUUUGGGAUAACCCCGGGAAACCGGGGCUAAUACCGAAUACGACUACCCAGGGCAUCUUGGGUGGUGGAAAGCUCCGGCGGUGGAGGAUGGACUCGCGGCCUAUCAGCUUGUUGGUGAGGUAACGGCCCACCAAGGCGACGACGGGUAGCCGGCCUGAGAGGGUGACCGGCCACACUGGGACUGAGACACGGCCCAGACUCCUACGGGAGGCAGCAGUGGGGAAUAUUGGACAAUGGGCGAAAGCCUGAUCCAGCAACGCCGCGUGAGGGAUGACGGCCUUCGGGUUGUAAACCUCUUUCAGCGGGGACGAAGCGAAAGUGACGGUACCCGCAGAAGAAGCACCGGCCAACUACGUGCCAGCAGCCGC